rnacentral:rRNA from 1 species
UACGAAGGGGGCUAGCGUUGCUCGGAAUUACUGGGCGUAAAGGGCGCGUAGGCGGCUCGGUAAGUAGGGGGUGAAAUCCUGAGGCUUAACCUCAGGGCUGCCCUCUAAACUGCCAGGCUCGAGCACAGUAGAGGCAGGUGGAAUUCCGGGUGUAGCGGUGGAAUGCGUAGAGAUCUCCAAGAACACCAGUUGCGAAGGCGGCCGACUGGACCCAUAUUGACGCUGAGGCUCGAAAGCAUGGGGAGCAAACAGG